GAUGAAGAACGUAGCGAAAUGCGAUAAGUAAUGUGAAUUGCAGAAUUCAGUGAAUCAUCGAAUCUUUGAACGCACAUUGCGCCCGCCAGCACUCUGGCGGGCAUGCCUGUUCGAGCGUCAUUUCGACCAUCAGGCCCUCCGGGCUUGUGUUGGGGCUCCCUGCAGCUGUCCGCAGGCCCUGAAAACCAGUGGCGGGCUUGCAAAGUCACGCCGAGCGCAGUAGAUUUUUUUCAUCUCGCUCAGGGCGUGCGUGCGGGCGCCGGCCGUAAAAGACGAGAGCGCGGCCUCGGCCGCCCACAAAUACCACAAGGUUGACCUCGGAUCAGGUAGGAAUACCCGCUGAACUUAAGCAUAUCAAUAAGCGGAGGA
rnacentral:misc_RNA from 1 species